AUUGAACGCUGGCGGCAGGCUUAACACAUGCAAGUCGAGCGGGGUGAUGGUGCUUGCACUAUCACUUAGCGGCGGACGGGUGAGUAAUGCUUAGGAAUCUGCCUAUUAGUGGGGGACAACAUCUCGAAAGGGAUGCUAAUACCGCAUACGUCCUACGGGAGAAAGCAGGGGAUCACUUGUGACCUUGCGCUAAUUGAUGAGCCCAAGUCGGAUUAGCUAGUUGGUGGGGUAAAGGCCUACCAAGGCGACGAUCUGUAGCGGGUCUGAGAGGAUGAUCCGCCACACUGGGACUGAGACACGGCCCAGACUCCUACGGGAGGCAGCAGUGGGGAAUAUUGGACAAUGGGGGGAACCCUGAUCCAGCCAUGCCGCGUGUGUGAAGAAGGCCUUAUGGUUGUAAAGCACUUUAAGCGAGGAGGAGGCUCUUUUGGUUAAUACCCAAGAUGAGUGGACGUUACUCGCAGAAUAAGCACCGGCUAACUCUGUGCCAGCAGCCGCGGUAA
rnacentral:rRNA from 1 species